rnacentral:rRNA from 1 species
GAUGAACGCUGGCGGCGUGCCUAAUACAUGCAAGUCGAGCGAACAGACGAGGAGCUUGCUCCUCUGACGUUAGCGGCGGACGGGUGAGUAACACGUGGAUAACCUACCUAUAAGACUGGGAUAACUUCGGGAAACCGGAGCUAAUACCGGAUAAUAUAUUGAACCGCAUGGUUCAAUAGUGAAAGACGGUUUUGCUGUCACUUAUAGAUGGAUCCGCGCCGCAUUAGCUAGUUGGUAAGGUAACGGCUUACCAAGGCGACGAUGCGUAGCCGACCUGAGAGGGUGAUCGGCCACACUGGAACUGAGACACGGUCCAGACUCCUACGGGAGGCAGCAGUAGGGAAUCUGCCGCAGUGGGCGAAAGCCUGACGGAGCAACGCCGCGUGAGUGAUGAAGGUCUUCGGAUCGUAAAACUCUGUUAUUAGGGAAGAACAAAUGUGUAAGUAACUAUGCACGUCUUGACGGUACCUAAUCAGAAAGCAACGGCUAACUACGUG